ACAGGUGCUGCAUGGCUGUCGUCAGCUCGUGUUGUGAGAUGUUGGGUUAAGUCCCGCAACGAGCGCAACCCUUAUCCUUAGUUGCCAGCACGUAAAGGUGGGAACUCUGGGGAGACUGCCGGUGAUAAACCGGAGGAAGGUGGGGACGACGUCAAGUCAUCAUGGCCCUUACGGGAUGGGCUACACACGUGCUACAAUGGCGCAUACAAAGGGCAGCAAGCCAGCGAUGGUUAGCGAAUCUCAUAAAGUGCGUCGUAGUCCGGGUCGGAGUCUGCAACUCGACUCCGUGAAGUCGGAAUCGCUAGUAAUCGUGGAUCAGAAUGCCACGGUGAAUACGUUCCCGGGCCUUGUACACACCGCCCGUCACACCAUGGGAGUGGGCUGCA
rnacentral:rRNA from 1 species